rnacentral:rRNA from 1 species
UUUAAAUGGCCGCAGUAUAUUAACUGUGCAAAGGUAGCAUAAUCAUUAGUCUUUUAAUUGAAGGCUGGUAUGAAUGGUUGGACGAAAUAUUAACUGUUUCAUAAUAAUUUAUAAUAAAAUUUUAUUUUUUAGUUAAAAAGCUAAAAUUUAUUUAAAAGACGAGAAGACCCUAUAAAUCUUUAUAUUUAAUUUAUUAUUAUUGUUUAGAAUAUUUUUGUAAUUAUAUUAAUAAUAUUUUAUUGGGGUGAUAUUAAAAUUUAAUAAACUUUUAAUUUUUAAAUACAUUAAUUUAUGUUUAAUUGAUCCAUUAUUAUUGAUUAAAAAUUUAAGUUACUUUAGGGAUAACAGCAUAAUUUUUUUGGAGAGUUCUUAUCGAAAAAAAAGAUUGUGACCUCGAUGUUGGAUUAAGAUAUAAUUUUAGGUGUAGUUGCUUAAAUUUUAAGUCUGUUCGACUUUUAA